UUCUUGUAUUUCACGGUGCUUAUUUUUACAUUCCCACAUACUCUUACGCAGUUGGUUGUAUUUUACCUGAGCUUCAGCCCUUUCAUCAAUGAUCCCGUGACCUCGAACAAACCUGGGCUGACCCAAAUCGUUGUUAUUAUCUUCCAGCCAGCCUAAAUAGUGUGGGGUACAACCAGCAUGGUAGCGAUCUGGUUCGAUGGGGGUCUUUUCCUAAGACAAUUUUGCAAUGCCACAUAUGAUGAGCUUGUCACCCGUAUGGACUAUCGUCAUCCUGG
rnacentral:lncRNA from 1 species